UUAGCUUGUUGGUGAGGUAACGGCUCACCAAGGCUUCGAUCCGUAGCUGGUCUGAGAGGAUGAUCAGCCACACUGGGACUGAGACACGGCCCAGACUCCUACGGGAGGCAGCAGUGGGGAAUAUUGGACAAUGGGGGCAACCCUGAUCCAGCCAUGCCGCGUGCGUGAAGAAGGCCUUAGGGUUGUAAAGCGCUUUCGGCGGGGAAGAUGAUGACGGUACCCGCAGAAGAAGCCCCGGCUAACUCCGUGCCAGCAGCCGCGGUAAUACGGAGGGGGCAAGCGUUGUUCGGAAUUACUGGGCGUAAAGGGCGCGUAGGCGGAUUAUCAAGUCAGAGGUGAAAGCCCUGGGCUCAACCUGGGAACUGCCUUUGAAACUGAUAGUCUUGAGUCCGAGAGAGGAUGGC
rnacentral:rRNA from 1 species